rnacentral:rRNA from 1 species
UGCGUAGGUGGCCAGGUAAGUUCGGUGUGAAAGCUCGGAGCUUAACUCCGAAAUGGCAUUGAAUACUAUCUGGCUAGAGGGUCGGAGGGGAGACUGGAAUUCUCGGUGUAGCAGUGAAAUGCGUAGAUAUCGAGAGGAACACCAGUGGCGAAGGCGAGUCUCUGGACGACUCCUGACACUGAGGCAAGACCAGGGGAGGCGAAACA